rnacentral:rRNA from 1 species
UACGUAGGGGGCAAGCGUUAUCCGGAAUCACUGGGCGUAAAGGGUGCGUAGGCGGUCUUACAAGUCAGGGGUGAAAGGCUACGGCUCAACCGUAGUAAGCCUUUGAAACUGUAGGACUUGAGUGCAGGAGAGGAAAGUGGAAUUCCUAGUGUAGCGGUGAAAUGCGUAGAUAUUAGGAGGAACACCAGUGGCGAAGGCGACUUUCUGGACUGUAACUGACGCUGAGGCAC